rnacentral:lncRNA from 1 species
GUAGCUGGGUGAGCCUCUCUCAGCCGGUGCUGGCAUUCCCUGCUGCAUUCCCUGGCUUCCUCGAGAAGCGAUGGAAGAGCGCAUGCUUUCCGAUUAUGUGGGAAGAUGUCUGAGGAGGAGCAAACCUGCGCAUCUGAGACUCUGAGGACAGACUGAGUACUUUCUACCAUUACAAGACUUUUGGACAAGCUGAAGGUACCAUUUACCAGUACUGCUCUACAGGGACUAUGAACCGUCAUGACUAUUGAACAGAAUCAUGGAGAGUUCCAGAUUUCAGAUGAUUCAUCUGGCCUGAAAGACGUGUCUAGAAACUUGCUAUGAUUUAUAGCAGUUAAUAUACUUUUGGUGGUAAUAAAGUGGCUUGAUCAGGUUCUGCUCUUCUGUUG